ACCAUCUUUGUAUGUUGGUAAAAUGAGUCCUACGGAGGCCAUCCUAUAAUGUUCAGCUACUUCUGGUGUCUGUGUGUGGAACUCUGUCUUGUUAGCAUGUGAAGAUAGUCAGAAUACUUAAUUUUCAGGAGUCGAGUAUUCCCCUACUCCUGAUUGAAGCGGGAAGCAGAGGAAAGCCAGAAUAAGACAAGGAAACGUUGUGGGAUGGCUGGCCAUCCCUGAAGAUGAACCUUGCCAGGAUGGAAAGCAAGAAACAUUAGGUUUAGCAACACUGGAGUGUGGCCAGAAUGGAAAAAAGUUAUUAACGAAGGAGAACACACAAGCUAGGAAAGUCUGUAGAAGUUUCCUUUUGGCUGAGCCUAGUGGGAUUCUGUCGCUGCAUCUCCUCUUCUGAGCUUUGGGGAGAGCAAGGGAUCUCUUGGCUUUCAGAUACUGAAGUUUUCCCUGAUUUAAAAGUAAUACAGAGAGAGCAGAGGAAAGGAUUCCCCAUUUAAUGGUUCCAAACACCGCCAACAAUAGGUGAAAACCUAAAGAGAGAAAUAUGUGUGAUGGGAAGACAGAACUUGAAUCAGGACAAUUGGAAAUUUAACAGUAUGAUUCCCGUGGCUAGACAAACGGUCCCCAACACUUCUCAAAGUCCUUGUGAUGAGGUCCUUCAUGUAAAAUGAGGUAAAAUGGGAGAAGACUCAGCUAUGACCUCUCUUUGUCAUGUUCCAGAGCAAUACUAUUGGUGUUUUAGAAGAAUGGUACUAAAUGUUGUGGUGUAAGCAGUGCUGGAGCAAUUCCCACACAGCCAAAGUUAUCAUCAGAAGGGAACCUCGGUUUCAUCUCCCAAUUCAUAAACUGAUUUAAGUCUUGGCUUAUUUCUCAAAGUAGUUUUAAGAGCCUUCAAUGGGAGCAGCGGACAGUGAAUGAUUGCAUCACUGAGGACCUGCCAAGGACCUUUCCACCUUGUUUUGGAUAUCCUUUGCUGAGAACAUGUUCCUUCUCAUCAAAUGAAAAGAUACUGGAAUAAGAAGAAGCAACACCAGUCUUUGGUCACCUUGACCAAGGAGAAGCAGUCUUUGGCCACCUUUUUUGUAUGGCUUCUGUCUAUUGGACAAGGGGGGCAGGUCUGUGAGAUAUGGCAAAAGCAAUGCAAGGAGGUGAGCCUGGUCAAAGAGCUGGCCUCCUAAAAACAUUGUGCCCAAGAAUCCUCAAAACCCCUCAGUGUUGGGUUAGGCACGGAAGAAUAUAAAGACUGUCAUACCCUAUAUACAACACAAAGGGUUAUUUAGAUUGCCAGGUAUAAAAACUCAAUUUGCAUUACAAAA